GACGUAGGGCGCGAGCGUUGUCCGGAUUUAUUGGGCGUAAAGAGCUCGUAGGCGGCUCGUUGCGUCAACCGUGAAAACCCGGGGCUUAACUUCGGGCUUGCGGUUGAUACGGGCGGGCUGGAGUUCGGUAGGGGAGACUGGAAUUCCUGGUGUAGCGGUGAAAUGCGCAGAUAUCAGGAGGAACACCGGUGGCGAAGGCGGAUCUCUGGGCCUUACCUGACGCUGAGGCGCGAAAGCUAGGGGAGCGAACAGG
rnacentral:rRNA from 1 species